rnacentral:tRNA from 1 species
GCCUUCGUGGUGUAGUGGUCAGCACACUCGACGCGUAACCGAAAGGUCCGGGGUUCGAUUCCCACCGAAGACG